UGUCUCUUUGAUACCCAUCCUGAGACUGGCCUGACAUUGUCAUCAUCUCUGAAUAAGGAUCCUACAAAACAACACUCUUGCAAGCAUAUCUAUGCCACUUGCUUAAUAACCAUAGGAAGCUGCCUUAUAGAAGGUCACAUACUUUGUGCCCACCUAGCCCAAUAUUGUCUAUUCCAACAAGCAGCUGCUUUCCAGAGUCUUAGACAGAUGUUUUUUCCAUCACCUGCUACCUAACAGGAGAUGCCAGGAACUGAGUCUGCAGCAGGUCUCAGAUAAAGCAUGUCCUCUUCUGUUUAAGAACAGACCUCUGUGGCUUAUGAACUCACCCUACCAGCCAGAAAAUGUGGCCAGCUUGGCAACCACCCAUGUUUUGCAACCCCAGGCAGGCAACAAAAGCCAGAUAUUUUAUGAAGCUUCCUUGUGUGCUGUCUUACAUAUACUAUGAAUGCUACAAUACACAGCUGAGCCUGCUUAUUCACAUAGAGCCAAUCUGACUGCUGUUGAGUAAGUGGGUUGUAGACUAUGGACUUAAUGAAUAACUGCAGCAAAGGAAAAUGAAAGGGGAGAAAUUUUCACCUUGAGUCUGCAUCAAUAUUUUCCCAUUUAAUCUGUAUAGCCUGCUAUUUUCAAUUUAGCCUCCCCCCAUUCCAAUCAUAGCCUGACUGUUUAUCUACUUCCCAUUAAUGAAUUAUAAAUAAACUUGAUAAU